GAUGAACGCUGGCGGCGUGCCUAACACAUGCAAGUCGAGCGAAGCACAUGAAUACGAUUCUUCGGAUGAGGAUUCUUGUGACUGAGCGGCGGACGGGUGAGUAACGCGUGGGCAACCUGCCUUACACAGGGGGAUAACAGUUAGAAAUGACUGCUAAUACCGCAUAAGACCACAAAACCGCAUGGUUUGGUGGUAAAAACUCCGGUGGUGUAAGAUGGGCCCGCGUCUGAUUAGGUAGUUGGUGGGGUAACGGCCUACCAAGCCGACGAUCAGUAGCCGACCUGAGAGGGUGACCGGCCACAUUGGGACUGAGACACGGCCCAG
rnacentral:rRNA from 1 species